CAAAAUGCAGAUAAAUGUACUAGGCAUAAAUGGAAGACAAAGUGGAAAGGGUUAAACGGAGAGUCUCCCAGAAGCUGAAAUCCUCAGAAAGAACUGGAGCUGGUACUUAGAGUCUUCCAGCCACAGUGGAAUCUCCCCACCACCUGUCUCCCUUGUUUCUCCCACUCUGUGCCGUCCCUCUACUUGGAGUCUCCACCGAUUGGAAUGAAAACUGACCAUUUCUAGUCCUGUGGCCGCUGCUGAGUUUUCCAAGUUUGCUGGUAUAUUGAAUGCAACACUUUUACAGAGUCAUCUUUUAGAAUUCCAU
ensembl:lncRNA